rnacentral:rRNA from 1 species
GUAGGGAAUAUUGCGCAAUGGACGAAAGUCUGACGCAGCGACGCCGCGUGAGUGAUGAAGGCCUUAGGGUCGUAAAGCUCUGUUGAAUGGGAAGAAAAAAAUGACGGUACCAUUCGAGGAAGGACCGGCUAACUUCGUGCCAGCAGCCGCGGUAAUACGAGGGGUCCUAGCGUUGUUCGGAAUCAUUGGGCGUAAAGGGUGUGUAGGUGACCAUGUAAGUCAGGUGUGAAAGCCCCGGGCUCAACCCGGGAAGUGCACUUCCAGGUGUCGUGGUGAGAUACGUAGAUAUCUGGAGGAACACCGGUGGCGAAGGCGGCUACCUGGUCGAGUACUGACACUGAGACACGAAAGCAUGGGGAUCAAACAGGAUUAGAAACCCCAGUAGUCC